GACGUAGGGCGCGAGCGUUGUCCGGAUUUAUUGGGCGUAAAGAGCUCGUAGGCGGCCUGUUGCGUCGACUGUGAAAACCCGCGGCUUAACUGCGGGCUUGCAGUUGAUACGGGCAGGCUAGAGUUCGGUAGGGGAGACUGGAAUUCCUGGUGUAGCGGUGAAAUGCGCAGAUAUCAGGAGGAACACCGGUGGCGAAGGCGGGUCUCUGGGCCGAUACUGACGCUGAGGAGCGAAAGCGUGGGGAGCGAACAGG
rnacentral:rRNA from 1 species